rnacentral:lncRNA from 1 species
GCACACAGGACAGGGAAGAAGCAUAUGGCUCGGACAGGGAAGAAGCAUAUGGCUCGGCUCCAGGAACUCCAAAAGAUGUCGAAAAAACUGAAGUGGCUGAUGAUGUGGGUGCAACUGUCAAUAGAAUUAACCACAAGGAACAAGAAUAAGCGUUCACCACAGGGGAUAACUGAGUUAAGUCAUGUUCAGAGAAUAAUGCAUAAAUUAUGAUGUAACUUGUACAUUGGCAUGUCUUCUUUUAAUUUUUUUUCCAUUGGGGGAAGGAAGACUAAGAAAGAUAUGCCAUUUUGGUCAAUAAAUAUGCUNNNN